UACGUAGGGCGCGAGCGUUGUCCGGAAUUAUUGGGCGUAAAGAGCUCGUAGGUGGCUUGUCACGUCUGCCGUGAAAAGCCCAUGGCUUAACCGGGGAACUGCGUCUGAUACUGGAUGGCUAGAGGUUGGGAGAGGGAUGCGGAAUUCCACGUGUAGCAGUGAAAUGCGUAGAGAUGUGGAGGAACACCGAUGGCGAAGGCAGCCCCCUGGGCUGAGAUUGACGCUCAGGCACGAAAGCGUGGGGAGCAAACAGG
rnacentral:rRNA from 1 species